rnacentral:rRNA from 1 species
AGAGUUUGAUCAUGGCUCAGAUUGAACGCUGGCGGCAUGCCUUACACAUGCAAGUCGAACGGCAGCGCGGGGCAACCUGGCGGCGAGUGGCGAACGGGUGAGUAAUAUAUCGGAACGUACCCUGGAGUGGGGGAUAACGUAGCGAAAGUUACGCUAAUACCGCAUACGAUCUAAGGAUGAAAGUGGGGGAUUCGCAAGAACCUCAUGCUCCUGGAGCGGCCGAUAUCUGAUUAGCUAGUUGGUAGGGUAAAAGCCUACCAAGGCUUCGAUCAGUAGCUGGUCUGAGAGGACGACCAGCCACACUGGAACUGAGACACGGUCCAGACUCCUACGGGAGGCAGCAGUGGGGAAUUUUGGACAAUGGGCGCAAGCCUGAUCCAGCAAUGCCGCGUGAGUGAAGAAGGCCUUCGGGUUGUAAAGCUCUUUUGUCAGGGAAGAAACGGUGAAGGCUAAUAUCUUUUGCUAAUGACGGUACCUGAAGAAUAAGCACCGGCUAACUACGUGCCAGCAGCCGCGGUAAUACGUAGGGUGCAAGCGUUAAUCGGAAUUACUGGGCGUAAAGCGUGCGCAGGCGGUUUUGUAAGUUUGUCGUGAAAGCCCCGGGCUCAACCUGGGAAUUGCGAUGAAGACUGCAAGGCUUGAAUCUGGCAGAGGGGGGUAGAAUUCCACGUAGCAGUGAAAUGCGUAGAGAUGUGGAGGAACACCGAUGGCGAAGGCAGCCCCCUGGGUCAAGAUUGACGCUCAUGCACGAAAGCGUGGGGAGCAAACAGGAUUAGAUACCCUAGUAGUCC